CCUGUUUCUAAUGAUCACUUUGUUAACUGUGCUCAAUACAGAAUAACUGCAUGUGCGCACUCCCUCUGAAACCGUUUUGGAAAAAUAUAUUUUCUAUUUUAUUCAGCUAUAUUCAAUUCAAUUGUAUUCCUCUUACUAUAAAAUAAUAUAAAAUAAUGCCAUAGGAAUUAUAAGCAAAUCUUGUCCGCUAAAUGAACUAGUGUAGCCUACAGUCAUAUUGCAUAGCCAGAUCAGGGCCUAACAUAAGGGCCUAAAUCAACAAUGGACUAAAGAAACAAAUACCAAAAGAUAGUUUUUGGGUGGAGUUGUCCUUUACUUCAUCUGUUCGUGCCACUGAGAUUUUGUUGGGUAUAGUUUUUACAGUCCAUCACCACCACUGACUGAAUGAUUAGCUAUGUAGACCCAUUAACAAUGUUGUUAUAUAAUCAUUUACUUCGCUUAUGUACACCAAUACUGACCUGCAAUUAAACAAAAAGUAUUUAGCUAGAUAAAAGCAAUAUUUGUUAUUCUAUAUUCUGCUAUUCUGUACAAUAAUAACUGAUAUUAUGAAAUGUUCUAACCUGAAACGCCACCUAGUGGUGACCAAACAUAAUGUUUACCAAUAAUUCACUGGUAAACAGGGAGUGUACGUUGAAAAUGCUACAACAGAGGAACCUGCGGAUUUAACGCUGCUGCAGUCAGAGAAACAUCAUGGCUAAACAGAAGAAAGGACAGAAGAGUUCAAUUGAUGAUAUGUUAGGAGACCUGUUGGGAGAUGAUGAUUUCCCAGUGAAGGCCAAAGCUCCGGCCCGUGAAGCAGGCAGACUAGGACCUCCUCUACCAUCACGCAGUGGAAAACACUCACUAUUGGGCGACGACUUCUUCAGCAAACUGGCUGAGGAAGCUGAAAAUGAGGGCUCUGAUGUUUCUGAGGCUGAUCCCACAGCCUUACUGGAGAGCAUGAAGGACAUAGAUGAUAUGGACGCUGAUCUCUUUGGAUCAAAGAAAAAGCCCAGUUCAGCCCCAGCUCAGAGUAAAGGCUCCGGCAUUGGAGGACCUACGAAAAAUCCUCCUAAAUCAGGAAACAAGUUAAAAGGAGGAGGAAUCUCAGAUGAGCUACACAUUGAGGAGAAGAAGCCAAGUUCUGCUCCUGCAUCGACAGCACAUGGCUACAAGAGGUUCAGCUUCACUGGUGAGGUGACUGUCCUGUCUGGGUCUUUGGCUAGUCUGGCUACACCAUUGGUUAUCAAUGACCCGGGCCACCAAAUUAGUAUUAAUACAAUGCAAAUAUACAUAAUUGUACAUUAUUUCUUCCUAUUUGCCUCUUCUCCUGAGAAGAAACCCAAACCCAUCACCCCCACCACGCUCACCCCUACCUUCCCCCGGCCUGCUGCAGACUGGCUGGGGCUCUCGCAGGUAGAUGAUGAGGAGGAGGAAAAGAAGGAAGAGCCCCCGCCUGUACCAGAACCCUUGAAGACCCCCUCCUCUUCGUCAGUGGGAAGCAAACCCUCCUCGUCUGGCAACCUCAUUCCACAGCCAUCGACAGAGACUCCAAACACCUCCUUUAAAUCCCCCAAACCAGUAGGACCCAGUGUAGAGGUCUCUGCAAGCCAAAAGGAUGAAGAUGAUUGGCUAUCGGGGGCAUUGAGCAGGAAGAAGACUCAAUCAUCCACACGGUCAGAGAAAAAGAGGACAAUCCAGGAAGACUUUCUGGGGUUUGGAGACGAGGUGGAUCUGGAGUCGUUUCUCAGAUCUCUACAGCAGGAGCUAGACCAGAACCAGAUGUUGCUGGAGAGUGUUCAGCAGAGACACAAGCAGGACACUGAGCUCAUGGAAAACACACACAGGGCUCGUGUGAAGCUGCUUGACGAUUCCGCGGCACAGCGAGAAGCACGGGCACGACAGGAAUGCGAGGACCUAGCAGAGCGCCUAGCCACGGUCACACAAAUAGCUGAACAGGAGUGUAUGAAGCUGCAGGCACAGCACCAGCGGAGACUGGCCCAAACCCAGCAGGACAGAGACCGAGAGGUGGAGAGACUCAGAGACCUACAAAGGAAGUAUAUUUUGGAGAUGAAGAAAGACCAUGAGGAUCAGGUCCAGAGGCUGAAGAGAUUGAAGGAUGAGGAGAUUGAUGCUGUGACCAGUGCCACAUCACAAACCAGGUCCCUGACAGUGGUGAUUGAUCAGAUGGAGCAUUUCUCCCACAGGCUGGGGGACCUUUCGUCUCGGGUGGAGAGCACCCAUGAGAACACUGCCCAGGGGCUGGAGCAGGGGGCACGGCAGAGAGACGAACAGCUCCGGGUGAUGCAAGACCGUCUGGGCCAGCAGCAGAGGGCCAUGGCAGAAGAGAGAACAAGGCUCAAAGAAGUCAUCGCCAAGAUGGACACCCAGCUGGCUGAGCAGCAGAGGCAACUAGAGAAGGUCAGGAGAACAUUAGGUUAG
rnacentral:lncRNA from 1 species